rnacentral:piRNA from 1 species
UUGUAUUGUUUUGUGGUGUUUGCCUGUGC